UUAAGGCGAGAUGCCCUAGUUUUGUUCUUUCAGUGGAGUCCCUAAUUAUUUCUUGGUCUUUGUAGUGAGCUAAUUAGUUUUGCAGCACUCAAGGCUGGGGAACGCUGAUAGGCUUGGGAAGCACAAGCUGGAGGGACGAGGAGGAGGAGAGAGCUGCUGGAAGAUGGCUGACUGGCAGAUGGGAAUGGCUGGGAAGCAGGGCAGGGUUUGGAAAGCUGAUGGAUGAUGGUCUGGGAAGGAUGAUGGAGGAGGGAAGAGCCAUAAUUUCAUGUCAGGCGAGCUUAGUGGUGACACCGAGGAGCUCUGCUGGAAGAGCCCAGCCUGGUCCCUGCCAUACGGAGCGCGGCUGGUCCCCAAGCUGGAUGCUCCCCUUCCCACCUGAUCAGAGCUGCUGCGUUCAGAGAGAGCCACCACAGGCACAUGAUGAAAUCUCUGAAGGGGCUGGAGCUACCUGCUGCGUGAUGAUGGGGAGCUGAGGUGGAGCAGCUGACAGGGACCCACAGCUUUCACCCCGCUCACCCCAGGCUGGGUCACCCUGAGACCCUCAGCACCCACCCAGGUCUGCUGGGAAACCCUACUGGGGACCCUCAGGGUAGGCACAAACUGCAGGGGUGAGGGGGGCACUGUGUAUUAGUCAAGGUUCAUAUUGUUCCUCUGAUCCUUUGCUCAGGUAAGGCUGUUGUUUUAAAGGAAAUUGAGGAAAAAUCUCUUUCACAGGGCAAUAUUUCUUUAGUACCACCAGUAAUGGGGGUGGAUUGGGAAAUGAACCGUUCCCCAUUACACCGGGACCUAACCGCACAGCCCGUGCUUUCCAGUUAAAAUUUGAUUGCCUUGAAUCCUGCGGAUUAUGGAAAAUAAGAAAAAGGCCUAGUAAAAUUUAUGGGUUUUAAUCAUAAACCGAUAGAAUCACAGUAAAUCUAUUGUAAGCGUGCAGAUACAGACCCAAGGAGGGGAGAGCAGCAGCCCCGCUUUUUGCUGGGGGAGCUGCACGUACCCACGGUGGGGCCAGGGGUGGGGAGUGGGGCUGCUCCCCCAGCCGCCCCCGCCGGGGUGCUGAGCCCCCCCACCUCAGAGC